rnacentral:rRNA from 1 species
AGAGUGAACGCUGGCGGCGUGCUUAACACAUGCAAGUCGAGCGAAUUUCAGCAGUGUAUCGCUGGAGUUAGCGGCAGACGGGUGAGUAAUAUUUAGACAAUCUUCCCUCGAGUGGGAAACAACCUGAUGAAAAUCGGGCUAAUGUCCCAUAAGACCACGGAGUGGCAUCAUUCAGAGGUCAAAGGUCCGCAAGGGCCGCUGGAGGAGGAGUCUAAAUCCUAUCAUGGUAGUUGGUGAGGUAACGGCUCACCAAGCCUACGACGGGUAGCCGGCCUGAAAGGGUGAUCGGCCACACUGGCACUGAGACACGGGCCAGACUCCUACGGGAGGCAGCAGUGGGGAAUUUUGGACAAUGGGGGCAACCCUGAUCCAGCGACGCCGCGUGAAGGAUGAAGGCCUUAGGGUUGUAAAGUCCUUUAACGGGAAGAUAAUGACGGUACCGUAGAAUAAGCCCGGCUAACUUCGUGCCAGCAGCCGC